GACGGAGGGUGCAAGCGUUGUUCGGAUUGACUGGGCGUAAAGGGCGUGUAGGCGGUCGGCCAAGUCUGAUGUGAAAGCCCGAGGCUCAGCCUCGGAAGUGCGUCGGAAACUAGUCGGCUGGAGCGCGAUAGAGGAGGGUGGAAUUCCUGGUGUAGCGGUGAAAUGCGUAGAUAUCAGGAGGAACACCGGCGGCGAAGGCGGCCCUCUGGAUCGUUGCUGACGCUGAGGAGCGAAAGCGUGGGGAGCAAACAGG
rnacentral:rRNA from 1 species